rnacentral:lncRNA from 1 species
AGGGACCAUUAAAACUUCAAGUGAUCCUUUGCACAUUCAUGGAGGCCCAAUUACAAGAGCAAGAGCCAAAAAUAUGCAAGCUACUUUAAAUGGAUUAAUUGAGAAAAUAUGGAUUGAAAAUGCAAUUCAAGAUGCAAGACAUCAUGAAUUGGGCUUGAAGAGAAGACAAGGCAUUGUGGGCAUUAUUCAAGUCAUUGGGCAGCCAAAUACACAAGUUGUAUCAAGAAAUAUAAUUAAGUUAGCUUUCCAAUAAAUUUUACAGAGCUGGAUUUGGAGUUCUCUAGAAGGAGUUAUGACCAAUUCUUUACAGCUUGGUCAGACUUGGGAUUUUCAACGAAUCCUUUGUUUUUCAACUUAUUUGUUUGUUUUGUUUCAAGCUUGUCAAUGUGUAAGGUAAGUCUACCAUCAAUGAUGGUGGGCUAACAUUAAGUUUGUCAAUGAUAGCAUUAAUUAUAGUAGGCUAGCAUUAAGUUUGUCAAAGAUAGCAUUGAUUAUGGUGGGUUGGUGAAGACUUUUGAAACAUCUUUUGACAAACCUACUUGGAGGGUUGUUCCAAUGUUUCCAUUUGGAUUUUUAGGAUCUUGGGUUUCUUUUAGCCUAUUUAAAUUCAGCAACCUUGGUAUGUAAGAAAAUUAGAGAUGAAUGUUAUUUGAAUUUGAAAGAUCAUUCUUUCUUUGGUUCUUUUGAGAACUAGUGAACUUAUCAAGAAUUUGCAUUCUUGUGGCGUUCCAAAUUUAGACUUAUCACUCACCUUCUCAUCUAUUUCUUGAGUGUGGC